rnacentral:rRNA from 1 species
CAGCAGCCGCCGCGGUAAAACGGAGGGAGCUAGCGUUAUCCGGAAUUACUGGGCGUAAAGCGCACGUAGGCGGCUUUGUAAGUUAGAGGUGAAAGCCUGGAGCUAAACUCCAGAAUUGCCUUUAAGACUGCAUCGCUUGAAUCCAGGAGAGGUGAGUGGAAUUCCGAGUGUAGAGGUGAAAUUCGUAGAUAUUCGGAAGAACACCAGUGGCGAAGGCGGCUCACUGGACUGGUAUUGACGCUGAGGUGCGAAAGCGUGGGGAGCAAACAGGAUUAGAUACCCCUGUAGUCCCUGUCUCUUAUAC